rnacentral:rRNA from 1 species
CCUACGGGUGGCAGCAGUGAGGAAUAUUGGUCAAUGGGCGCGAGCCGGAACCAGCCAAGUAGCGUGAAGGACGAAGGUGCCAAGCAUUGUAAACUUCUUUUGUCAAGGGACAAAAUCAGGCUCGAGAGCCUGAACGAGGGUACUUGAAGAAAAAGCAUCGGCUAACUCCGUGCCAGCAGCCGCGGUAAUACGGAGGAUGCGAGCGUUAUCCGGAUUUAUUGGGUUUAAAGGGUGCGUAGGCGGGCUGUUAAGUCAGCGGUAAAAGCCCGGGGCUAAACCCCGGCGAGCCGUUGAAACUGGCUGUCUGGAGAUGUCGAGAGGUAUGCGGAAUGCGCAGUGUAGCGGUGAAAUGCUUAGAGAUUGCGCAGAACUCCGAUUGCGAAGGCAGCAUACCGGCGGCGAUCUGACGCUGAGGCACGAAAGCGUGGGUAUCGAACAGGAUUAGAUACCCUGGUAGUC